CUAACAACCAAUAGGUCACAUGCCCUCGGCACAAUCUGAUGCUAAAACGGCGAUAUGGGUCCACCGUCAACCCCGACGACACCCAUCAGUUCGGAACAAUCUGAACGCUACUAUAAAAAUACACUCGGCAUCCUAGCACGAACGUAAUUGAAAUCUAAACUAUCUGGGGUAUCCACCACGACGAUACUGUGGCGAUACAAAAUAGCAACGGCUCCUAAAGGUAAAUCAGGUAGUUUAAACAUAUGACAGGUCAUAAUCGCAGUUUUCUCCUAAGUCAUAUCCAAGUCCAACAUAUGCAAGUAGAUAGUCACGGUAUUAAGCUUCGAUUCAAAUUCUACAUGUAAAUAUGCCAAAAUUCAUGAACGGAGCAAUCUCUAUCAACGAAUCAACACAACAAUAAUACAUGUCGACAAUCUAUAUACUUAGAAGAUAAACCGACGAUUAACCCACCUCAAUAGCUAAACCCAAUCCUGCGCGACGUCGGGAACGGCGGAAUCGCACCCUUGCCCGGCCUCCUCGCGACGCUACGACGACAAACGUACACUCGAACGGCACCGCGGCGCGACGUCGACGACGAUCCACACCACCCGAGCUCCAACGACAACCGGUCCUAGCUAGAGAGAGAGAUGAGAAGAAGAACAAUAUAAUCUCUCUCUCUCAGCUCUACACAUGCCUAAAUAGAGAGGGAGGGGAUGAGUAACAUGAGCGAGGUGAAAAAAGACCAAAAAGUCCUCUUACCUACCCAUGUAACGACCCAGCCCACUAGCAAUAAUAACUCGUUGGGCCCAACAACCGGCCCAAAAUGCUUAAGCCCAGUUAUUAUUACUAGUGUCUAAGUCUCUUAUAAACCCAAUGACAACCCCAUUUCUAUUCGAUGUGGGAUUAUUGGGGUGUCACAACCCAGGUGUACCGGUACACGAGUAGUUGUACCGGUACAAAUGGCAACCCGAGAGCAGCUGUGCGAAAACAGGCGAAAUGUACCGGUACACAUCCGAUGUUGUACCGGUACAGAAAGUGUACCGGUACACCUCUGAUGUUGUACCGGUACAACAAGCAUGAAAUCUGCAAUUUACAGAUUCUAAUGCUAACUUCUACUCUCGCGUCCCCACUGAGUCCGUUUUGCGUCUAUUUCGCGCCAACGCGACUCGGACUUGUCCCGACACCCUCACGACGUGUCGACAAGUCUCUACUGCUGUACACUAGGGAUGCCACAUAGAUGUUGGUCUUUAAGAAAAUAUGAAGGAAAAAAAAAUUUUGUUGCAUGAAGAUGAAAAGUACCUGCUCCAAUAAUAGUAUAGAUAAAUUGUUAGAUAAGUGAAAUGAUAAAUAUCAUAAUAUUAGUGAAAUUUUUCAGAAAAAGAUCUAAAUUUAUUUAAAAAAUAAAAUGACAGAGUUGAAUUGUUAAAAAAUUAUAAUUUUUGAAAUAACAUAAAGAAAAAUAAACCGCUUAUAUUAUAGAGAACCACCAGUUGAGAGAAUUGAGUUGAAAUUUCACUAAGCACCAUAAAUUGACUUAGUUCUCCGCUUAUAAUCCUAAAUUUUAUUUUUUAAUGUAAGUGAACAAUAUAUAUAAAAAAAAUAAUAAGGUUAUUGGUUAACUUACUUAUUUUUGAACUCUAAUAUUUCUGAUAUAUCAGUGUUGAUCAUCAUCUUAGUUGCAUAAAGAGAGUUUGAUAUACUACGUUGACCUAUGUUGCCCAUAGAUAUACAAUAAUUAGUAUAAUUAGUAAGAAUAUAAUAAUAUCUAAAGUUUGAAUAAAUGAGAUAGCUGCAAAGUCUUUUAUCUUGCACCAUUGCAUUAUAAUUAUGACAGGACCUUCAUCUCCUAUUUGUCUAUAAGUAUGAAGUUUUUCAGCAAACCUUCUCCACAAUGUGUAACCCAGCUUCUUGUUGCUAUAAGUUUUACAGAAAAAAAGUACUAAAUGACCAAAAGAUAAUAAAAAGAAGUAUUAAAGAGUUGCUAUCCUACUUAAAAAAUAUAUAUAUACAUAUAUAUAAAUUAUAUAUACAAAUUAAAAGGACCAUUGUACUACAAAUGCUACUUAUAAAACAAUUCAUUUUAUAUCAUAUAUAUGCCUACUUGUUUUUGGUUUAUAUUUAAUUAGAUAGAUAAUUUUUAUAUUUAUAUUUAUAUUAGCAAGAAAACUCCAAGAACAUAAAGUACCGUUAUUUAAGAUGUAGACAUGAGUGUCGUAUUAUAAAGUUAUCAAAUUGAUAAAUACAAUAUACUUUUGUUUUGGAUAAAACUGUCAAUCUAGUUAUUACUUUAUAAUAAUAAACAGCUAACUGAACAAAAACAUAUAAACAUUCAAAAGAUAUAUUUAUAAUUAUGAACACCUACUUGUCAUCCUCAAGUAGAAUCAUAAUUUUUUUUGUUACUUUACCGUCCUUGCAGCUUUCUUCCGUUCUACUAAUUCCAGAAAGCUUCCCAAUGACAUCUGAUAAAUUAGAAAAAUAAAAUGUAAGAAUUAAUAUAAUAGGUACACAUAUUAAAAAUUAAAUUUUAAAAAUCAAAUAUUUGAUACAUGUAACAACUCUUACCUACUAAAUAUUUGUCAUCAGCGACAUUAGCAAGUAUUUCAUCAAAAGGAGUAAAUAUAAAUGCAUACUUUGAUAUUGUCAAAAUAUCUUCCAUCUCACGUACAACCGUAGAAUAUUGAAAAUUGAUUUUGUAAGGAUAUUUAGUGGUCUUGUAGGAGCCACUGCUCUGCCCCACUCCAAACUGACUGAUUACAUAAACUUUUUAUUCGGUAAAAAGGCCUUUAAAUUUGUUUAAGAAAGCUUUUCUUACCGUUGCAUGUAUCAUAUCUCUCUAAAAUAGAAAAUAAACCAAUUAUGUAGUAUCUUUUAUUAAAAACAAAUCAAGUAAUAUUUCAGCAAAUAAAAGUUGUAACAUCCUAAAAAUUAUAAGUACUCUCAAGUCAUCAUCACCCAUUUGACGUGCAUCAUGUAACAUAUGCCUUCAAUAGAAAUAAUGGUUUUCACCAAAUAUCAUAAUACAGUAAGUUUAUAUGCAUGUAGGGACUCAUGUUACAUGUAAUUCAUUCACAAAAUAUUUGGGUCAUAUCUUUUGUUAGUGAAAAAUCAAAAAAGAAUGAAAAACUAAGUAGCGAUAGUAGGUUUUUAUAUUACAUGAAAACGUAUGUUCAAUUUGAAAAUAACAGUCGUAUCUUACAUUUUGAUCAGAAAGAACUAAAUCUAGGCUAUUCACCACCUCUGGACGAUGAAAUUCAGACAUAGUAUAUAGACAAAUCACUCUGACUUUGAUCUUCUAUUUGUCUCCAAGAGGAGUGAUGUCACUUAUAGAAUCAAACCCAAGUGUCAUAUCCUGAGAACUAAGAAAAAAAGUUAAUACUUGCUUUGUAUUUAAGUAAUAAAAUGAAAAUAAUAUGUUCUAUUUUAAAGCAUCAAUAUCUAAGAACUAAGAAAAACUGCUCAAUAGAUACUUAACUGAAAUGUGCUGAAUAAUAUUAAAACAAAGAGAAAAUUACAGAAGGAGUGAUAGUAGGGAAGUGGCAUGUAAUAUUAAUUGUAUAUAUAAUUAUAAUUUGAUUUAAUAGUGUUUAAUAGUGUUUCCUAAUAAAAUUCUAUUUAAUUGUAUAUAUAAUUAUAUUUAAUUGGUAUAAUUUGAUUUAAUAGUGUUUUCUAAUAAAAUUCUAUUUUUAUUAGAUCUAAUUGCUAUAUUUGAGUUUGACAUGUAGCAAGCAUAUAGAAAGAUGCAUGAUAAACAUUUAAUUUGAUUUAAUUUGAUUUAAUCGUGUAUAUAAUUAUAAUUUUAUUUAAUAGUGUUUAAUAGUGUUUCCUAAUAAAAUUCUAGUUAAUUGUAUAUAUAAUUAUAGUUUGAUUUAAUAGUGUUUAAUAGUGUUUCCUAAUAAAAUUCUAGUUAAUUGUAUAUAUAAUUAUAAUUUGAUUUAAUAGUGUUUAAUAGUGUUUCCUAAUAAAAUUCUAGUUAAUUGUAUAUAUAAUUAUAUUUAAUUGGUAUAAUUUGAUUUAAUUUGAUUUAAUAGUGUUUCCUAAUAAAUAACCUAUUCUAUAUUUGUAGUGUUUCCGAAUAAAAUUCUAAUUGGUAUAUUUUGAUUUAAUAGUGUUUUCUAAUAAAAUUCUAUUUUUAACCAUCUAAUUGCUAUAUUUGAGUUUGACAUGUGGCAAGCAUAUAGAAAGAUGCAUGAUAAAUAUUUAAUUUGCUUUAAUUUAAUUUAAUUGUACAUAUAAUUAUAAUUGUUUAAUAGUAUUUAAUAGUGUUUCCUAAUAAAAUUCUAGUUAAUUGUAUAUAUAAUUAUAUUUAAUUGGUAUAAUUUGAUUUAAUUUGAUUUAAUAGUGUUUUCUAAUAAAAUUGAUAUUCUAUAUUUGUAGUGUUUCCUAAUAAAAUUCUAGUUAAUUGUAUAUAUAAUUAUAUUUAAUUGGUAUAGUUUGAUUUAAUUUGAUUUAAUAGUGUUUCCUAAUAAAAUUGUUAUUCUAUAUUUGAGUUUGACACGUGGCAAGCAUAUAGAAAGACACGUAUCAGUUUUACACCAUAUAUUCUACUUUGGUAUAUAGUAAAUAGAUUAUUUUGUAAAAAAAAAGUGUGUAAUAGUGAAUAUCCAUUAGAAUAAUAAUUUAUCUUAAGUAUGCUUAUCAAUAAUGCAGCAAUACGCUUGCAAGUUUGGAUUAUGAUAGGAUCAUUUGUUUGGAAAAAUGGGUUGGGCAGAGUGUUUUUGUUGUUGGAUGGAAGAAGUGUGACACCCCAAUAGUCCCACAUCGGAUGGGAAUGGAGUGUGUCUUGGUUUAUUAAGACUUGAGCACUAAGUAAUUAAUAACUGGGCUUAAGAUUUUGGGCCGUUUGGCUAGGCCCACGAGUAUUAUUAUUGCAUAGUGAGGCUGGGUCGUUACAUUGGUACAGAGCUGUGUUCACCAGCCGGAAGCUGUGGCAGUCUGGCUGAGCAGGAGUCUUGAAGACAAGGUGGCUGCUUGCCAGGUUGGAUGACAAGGCUUGAGCGAGAGAGUCUAAUAGUCCUGGUGAUUCUUAGGCAUUGUGUGUGUGAUUGGCGACGAGGAACGUCAAGGCGCCUUACGCGGGGGAGUCUUGUGACACCAAUGUCACUACAUCGGAGUGGGAAUGGGGUUGUUCAUUGCGGUUUAUAAGAGCUUGACAUAGCUAUAUAACUGGGCUUAAGCAUUUGGUGCUGUUGGCUAGGCCACGAGUUAAUUAUUGUACAUGGUGAGGUCGUUAAAUUUUGUGUAUCAGGUGUGGAGGUUUUGGUAGGACCGGGGUCAGGGCUCUUUGUUUGAUGCCGUUCAGAUUUUGGUUCGCCCGUUCCAAGACUGAGCAUGUGGGACCGAUGGUGCCGGGCGAAGCAUGGGAGAUCAGUGGCGUUCUGAAGUGGAGGGGAUGGUGAGGGAAUGGUUUACAGAGCAGUGCGAACACAUCCCGCUCUCAACGUGGAGGGAUUACGGGCAAAUGCACUCUAGACCAACAUGCCCACAGGCCUAUUCAACGAACCACUAUUUAUAAAAAUGUAGACCCCAGAUGUCCUAUAUAUGGAAUAUAAUAGGCCUAACUUCUAUAACCCCGCUUAGAAUUUUGCGUGGUGGCUAGACCCAAGAGGUUAGGAGAGUUAGCGUGUAGGACGAUAAGUUCAUGAUGGUGACCACUGAGGAAGUCGGGGGAUACAGAUGGUAUCGAGCAUAUUACGAGCCGGAAGUGUGAGAUGUAGUCUCGGUCUGUAGCCAAGGUUGGAUGACGGGCUAGCAAGAUCGAGUUCACAUCGCCUGGGUAUUUGUGAGUCUGAGCCUGCGAGGACGUCAAGGGUCUUAAAGAAGGGGAUGUUGAACCCCAGGAUAUGUCCUAUAUAUGAGAAUUAAGUAGCGGCUAACUCUUAACCCGCUUAAGAUUGUGGGUGGUGGCUAGACCUAAGAGGUUAGAGAAGUUAAGCGGUGCUUAGGACAGGGAGUGAGUCCCUAGGUAUGGGUGACCCCCUAGGAAGUUUGGGGUUCACAUUGUGUUACCCCGAUAGUCUAUUUAUGAGAUUAUAAUAGGGCUAAACUCUUAACCCGGUUAAGCAUUUUAACGGUGGUGGUAGACCCAAGGGUUAGAGAGGUUUUUUUAGCGUUGCUAGGACGGGGUAGUCUAGGAUGGAGUGACCCUGGGAAGUAAAUGGGGACUCACAUGGAUAUAGAGCCAAUUACCAGCCGGAAAUUUGAGAUGAGUCUCGGUGAGUGAGGGUUGGAUGAAGGCUGCUAGGAGACAAGUCUCCAUCGCUGGUAACAACCCAAAACGUACUUGUGAGUCUGACGACCUGACGAGGACGUCAGGGCUUAAAGGACGGGGAGAUAUGUUGGACUCCAGGUAGUCCUAUUAUUAAGAUAUAAUAGGGCUAACUCUAUAACUCCGGCUUAGCAUUGUGGGUCAAGUCGCAGAGGCCCAAGAGGUAAGCGAGUAAGCGUGCUAGGACGGGAGUAGUCGCUAGGAGGGUGACCCCGGGAGUCGGCGGGUCCACGUGGUAUCAGAGCCAAUUACCAAGCGGUAAGUGUUUGAGGAGUUCGGCUGAGCCAGACGGGUAUGGAUGCGGUGGCUAGCGAUUAUGGUCUCAAUCGCCUCGGUAUUUGUUGGUCUGGCCUGACGAGGAGAUUGGAGAGAAACCACACUACGCAACAAACAACAAACCGAGAAAAAGCAAAACGCAAAUCGAAGAACCAUAGAACAAGUCAGGGCUUAAAGAAGGGGAGAUUGUGAGACCCAGAUAGUCCUAUAUAUGAGAUAUAAUAGGGCUAACUUUAACGCGUUAAGAUUUUGAGGUGGUGGCUUAGACCUAAGAGGUUAGAGAGUUAAGCGUGCAUAGGACGACGGAGUUAGUCUAGGAUGGGUGACCCCUGGGAAGUGGGGCGUUACAUUUAGUAUCAGAGCGGUUAUUAGCUGGAAUGAUGUGGAGAGUCUCGGCUGAGCCAGGGUCUGGAUGACGGGCUAGCGAGACGAGUCUCACAUCGCCUGGUGAUCUUGGGCUGUGUGUGUGAUUGGACUGACGAGGACGUCAGGGCCUUAACGGGGGGAGUCUGUGACACCCCAAUAGUCCCACAUCGGAUGGGAAUGGGGUUGUCAUUGGGUUUAUAAGAGACUUAGACACUAGUAAUAAUAACUGGGCUUAAGCAUUUUGGGCUGUUGGUUUGGGCCCAACGAGUUAUUGUUACUAGUGGGCUGGGUCGUUACAAGAAGAGAGAAAAAAGAUAGAAGAAAUGUAUUAAAUUGAUGCGACCCCAACUUUUCUUUUAAUAGUUUCCUUUUAAUAAACAAGUUCAAAUUCAAAUAUCUUAUUAUUUAAGAAUAUGUCUAGGAAUAGACAAUUAUCUUGUUAUUUAGGAAUAUAUUUAGGAAUUGAUUUAUUUAUGUUAAAUUAGGUAUGAUUACAAGUAAUUUGAGGAUAUGAGCUCUAAAUAAUGUAAUCCGAUAUUACAAGAAAUAAUCAAGCAAUAUUAUCUCUUUUUCCUCAUAUCUUGUCUUCUCUCUACCACUUCUCUCUAACUUUCUACCCCUUAAUUCUCUGUAGGCACGAUCCCCUCGAAGUGAUCGAUUCGGUAUAGUAGGAUUGUUUCAUUUGGUAUCAGAGCUUGUAUGGUCUUGACUCGAGCAAAAAAAGGAUCCUUGCGAAAGAUGGAGAAGGAGUUUGUACGAAGGGAGGAAAUGAACAACGUUGAUACUCGAUUGAACAAACUGGAGAUCGAAGUAAGGUUCAUUAGCGAUUCUACUAAUGAUCUUAAAACUUUAAUUAUCGCUAUGAACACAAAGAUGGAUGUGCGACCGCAAGUUCCGAUAAAAAUAGUCCUCUUCUUCCUACUCCCUUCAAGGAAGAGGCAUUGAUUCCUUCUAUGUAGAACUCUAUGAUGGUGAUACUGUGAAACAACCGUUGUACUCUAAAAUCUUAAGCUGUUAAAGAAUGAUGUUUAUAUAAUUUUAUAUUUAGCACUCCCCCUCACGUCUGGGCUCGAAACUUUUUGCAAGCCCAAGACGUGCAAUUGAAUUAAAUAGGAGAAAAUUAAUUAUGAUAGGGGCCUGACAUGGCUUGAACUCGGGGCCUCGUGUCACAAGACUGGAGUUUCCCCGAUUUGAUGGUGAUGGACUAGCUGGAUGGAUGUACCGAGCAGAGCAAUUUUUUAAUUUUAAUCAAAUACCAGACAUCCAGAGGGUUCCGCACGCAUCUUAUCAUAUGGAGAAGGGAGCGUUACAAUAGCUUCAAUGGUUCGAGAAAAGCUGUGGAGUCAUGGCAUGGGUGGAUUUCGUAGAAGCUCUUUGUACUCGUUUUGGUCCAACUAUGUACACAGACUAUAAGGGAGAACUAACAAAAUUAUAACAAGGUUCGACGCAAAGUGUUCGUGAUUAUCAGGCCCGAUUUGAAAUGCUUGCAAACCGCACGACGGGGCUAUCCGAGGCAUUUUUCAUAAGUUGUUUUGUUAGCGACUUGCGAGAGGAUCUCGAGCAUGAUGUCCGAGCCUUCCGAUCGACAUCUAUCUCUGCCGCAAUUGGUCCUACAGACCUUCAGGAGGAAAAGCUUUUAGCCCAACGACGUCAGGUAAGACCUACCCCUACUAGGCUGAGUAUUUCUACGACCAUAAUCCCUAAAGAGGCUCUCCCACCAAUUAAGCGUUUCAUGCCGGCCGAAGCGAAAAUAAGAAGAGAAAAAGGGCUAUGUUAUAAUUGCAAUGAGAAAUAUAGCCCAGGUCAUCGAUGCAAAACAAAGCAAUUGUUUUUUAUCGAAGGCGAGCCUAAUGAAGAUAAUAUGGAGGACACUCCUGUGGAUAUUAAUACCGAAGAAUUGUAGGCGAAAAUUUCUAUGCAUAUUAUAUCCGGGUCGUUGUCUGCCCAAACAAUGCAUGUGAAGGGCCUUCUUAAGCGACAACCGGUUGCCAUUCUCAUCGACUCAGGAAGCACCCACAAUUUCAUAUAUCGCGAUCUAGCCCAGAGAAUGCACUACCAUAUUGCUGAAGAAAAGCAUUUUGAGGUAAUGGUUGCCAACGGGGAGAAAGUCGCAAUUGGUGGUAAAUGUUUCAACAUACCUAUUACUCUUCAAGAUUAUUAUUUUAUAACAGAUUUCUAUGUUUUCCCUCUCGGUUGGUGCGAUGUGGUACUUGGAGCCCAAUUGUCACGCCCCGAGCCCGAUCCUUUUGGCCGAUUCGAGCGCGUCAAACAGACGCCGAACGGACAGAGUCUCCCCUGCCCGCCCAAGGCUCAAUAUCCUAUACAAAUAGAGUAUAAAUUUUGCACAAAACGGAAGCAUACACAAUGGCUUGCACGAGGGCAAGCAAUAGCCAAUAGUGAAAGUAAUAAACUACACUUUAGGAAUUUAUUUAUAUUUUUGCAUCAUUUCUUUUAUACAUCACAUAUUCCUCAAAACAUAACCAUUUGCAUUGAAACAUAAACCCCUUUUUACAUCAUUCAUUUAACAUGUUCAUCUAAAAUCAACAAAAUACAAAAGAUGAUAACUAAAGGAUAUGCAACUAAACCAAAAUGUGAAACCAACUCGGGUGGUCUCUAACUAUAGAGCGAUACCUUUACCGCGAUCAUCCACCGGCUCGUUUGGUCCCGGCUCUGUGGAAAAUAGGGUGUGAGAACUACAACAAAGUUUUCAGUGGGUUCGGCAACCAACCACACUGACUUUCCCACUAGGUCUAAUCAGGCAUAAUAGAAAAACAGAUAGAUAGAAACCAACUAAACAAAUGCAGCUAAUAUGCCUGAAUAAUAAGUAAUGCGAUGCUCGAUAAAAUACUCAUGAUAAAUGCAAGGUCAUAAUCUCAUUGCCCAAUCUCUUGGCUAACCCAUAGGUUUCGCCCUCAACAACUCGCCAACCAAAUCCCUACUAUCGGAGAGAUACCCGCUACAACCCAACGGGACCGUCCUCUGAGGAGAUACUCGCUACAACCCAGUAUGACAACUCCGGAGCACAUCGCCCGAGGGGGAGCUACCACCCUCGAACAAGGACUUACAGCUGAGUAUGAUCCAAUCCUUAACUAUAAGGAUGUCGAGUCGAAUCCAUUCCUUAUCUAUAAGAAAACAAUGCACAUAUGACCCUUAACUCUAAGGUUGUUAUGUCAUAAUGUCGCUAUCUCUAUUUACUUGCAUUCUUUAACCUUUACUAGUGUCAUAUACACUACUUGUUCUUGUACAUAUGCCACACCUGUUUUCUAAGUGUUACAACUCUAGCAUUCUCGACUCAUCAUUGUCACUUUCUACUUCUAUGUCAAGAUGUCACAUUUGUUUACUAAGUCCACUAAAUUCUUGUCACUUGUCAUGCAUAAAUAGGGUUAUUAAAAUUCUCACAUGCAUUUGAACUCAUAACAUGCAAAAAAGAAGCUUACAAUUACCCUACUAUGCAAUAUGCUGAAAUACAUACAUAUGCUUAAGUAUGACACUUUAGGUAUAAAAAAAAUUCCGAGGUUCUUGGUAUGCACCACCCACCUUAGAUGGUUGAGAGGAUGCUACGGUGAAUUUCUUGAAAUUUUUGAAGCCCUAUUUUUUUCGUCUGUGGCAAAACGAAGCCAAAUUAAGCUUUUUCUCAAUAACUUUAUUUAAACCUUUUCGUAACGUCAAACGGAGUUGUCCCACGCAUCAGGAAUACCCCCAAUUAGGUUUUCUAUAAGGUCAAUUUGCCUUAGAAACUUUUCAGGACAAAAGCCCUAAAUUUGGUGCCCUAACAACACUGUUUGCUCAAUCCUAAGUUUUGAUCUCUAAAAUAAGCAAAAGAGAGCUUAUCCAACAUCUAGAAGCUCAUUUAGAACUAUCUAAACUAUUUCUAGGGUUUAGAAUGCAAGCCCUAAAAAUCCACCAUUAGAGAGUUCCAAGAAACUAGGUUUCAUGUAUUCUAUAGCUCCAAUUAGGUUUCUACACUCAUUAGAAAAUCAAAACCUAGUUUUCUAGGACAUAAACCCAAACCCUAGCCUAAGUUUUCAUGAAAACCUCACCUUGGCCCAAAGCUCUCCAAGGUCCACCUUAUAGGAGAGAUCCCAAACCCUCAAAGCCUCCAAAUCCACCUUCAAAAGCCUUCUCUACUCCUUCUCCUUGCUCUGUGGGGAGAGUUCUAGAGAGAAAAAGAGAGAAAUAAGAGAGGAGGUGUGUAGUGGCUGUGGGAGAGGGAGAGAGGAGUGUUGGGGUUAUGUAUAAGGUGCUACAAUUACCAAAAAUCCCACCACUUAUUCAUAUGUGUAGCAGUUUUCAACCUGCUAUCGGGCCCAAAGUGUACCAGUACACUUUAAGGUGUCACCGGUAACACGAUCGCGUAUAGCCAAACCUGAGAGCAGCUCCCUCGGGUUUGGAGCAUUUGUACCGGUACACUUUUAUUUUGUACCGGUACACUUGUCUGUACCAAUGACAACUCGAUGGUUGUACUGGUACACAUUGCCUAGACCUGAUUUUUUGCUCCGUUUCGAUUCUAUUUCGCGCCGAUUUAUGCCAAAACCUUUCUAACACCUCUUAAACUCAUUUUUAGCCCUUCCAACCUUGUUGAAAUGCUAAAUGAAACUUGUCCAACUAUUUCUUUCGCAUUUUUCACUUUUAAAUCGCGCCGAGUAAUGCUAAAACUUGUUUAACACUCUCGAGACUCGAUUUUGACCCUUCCAACGCUGUUAGAAGGUCAACUGGAGUUUGUCCAUCCAUUUUCCUCGGCACUUUAACCAAUUUGGCUAAAGUUCGAUAAUCGCUAUCGGGGUUUCGAUACGUUACACCAAUGGCUUCAUACUCUUAGACCUAUUCUUUGGGAUUUUUCAAAGCUUUCUAUGCAGUUUACAAUCAAUGGUCAGCAGUAUUCAAUCAAAGGAUCAAGAGCGCCAGCAUCGCAGAUCAUAAGCAAUAUUGUCUCUUUUUCCUCGUAUCUUGUCUUCUCUCCACCUCUUCUCUCUAUCUCUCUAUCUUUUAAUUCUCUGGAGGCACGAUUCCCUCGAAGUGAUCGAUCUGGUACGGUAGAAUCAUAUCAUAAAUGAAUAUAACAGUAUACGGAAGAAAUAUGUGAUUUACGUAGAAACCGUCUGGUUAUUUUUAUUAAAGCUUUAAAAUGAUGAAACUGAUUAUGUGGGAAUUAGUUUUUGAAAAGCAGCUCUAAAUUGUUUCUAAUUCUAGUGCCAUAAAAAUCAGUUUUCUAAUUCUGAAAAAUUGAAUUAGUUUUUUUAAUGAUUGCUUUCAAUCUCUAUUGAGCCAAAAAUCACUAACACCCACUAUAAGAUAGAAUUAUUUUUGUAUUUAUAAUUUGGCUAAAUUAUAUAAAACCUUCCUGUCAAUACCCACUUUUUGACUUCCCCCCUGUCAUUCAGAAACCUACACUCUGCCCCCUUAUAAAAUAUUUAUAGGAGGGAACGGUGUGACAAAAUGACCAAAUUGUCCUCAUUUUUUUCGUCUCCUCCUCCCCAAUCUUGCUCAUCCCGAUGGCGGAGGAGGGUGAGGGCGUGUGUCUGGGCAUGGACAAAGGGGUGCGCGAGGGCGCUGCAGCGGAGGGCGAGGUAGCGGCCGAAGGCAUGUGUGUGGGCAUGGAUGAGAGUUUUAGGUGUAUUUUGGGUAUAAAAAUCCUAACAGAACACUGAUGGAGUGAGCCGAAGUGAAUAUUUUUUAUUUUUUAAGGGGGCAAAAUGUAGAUUUUUGAAUGACAGGGGAGAAAAGUAAAAAAAUGGGUAUUAACAGGAAGGUUUUCUAUAAUUAUAUAAUGAAUCCUCAAGCAAGCAGGAGGGGCUAGAGUCUGUAUUUUUUUUCUAAUUUUAAUUAUUUUCUCUCUCCACUAAUUUCGACUGAGUGAAUUGGACUUAUGUUUUUCUUUUAAUCUAAUUUACUUUUUCUAUCAUUAUACAACAUUUAAAAUAUAUAAUAUUUUACACAUAAUAUAUAUCUAUCUAUAAAUAUAAUGAAUCCUCAGUUUCUUGAGCCUACGUGGCGGAAAAGGGGAGAAAGACGGAGAGCACGAGGGACUGAAGCCAACAUUUUUUUUUGAAGGGUUAGAUAGCUGAUACAAAAUAGUUCAUAGUAUCGAAAAAUUUUAUUGUUUUUAGUUCGAUUUUAAUAUCAAAUUUUAAUGUCAUAUUUACAGUUUGAUGAGCAAUCAAUUUCACAUUUAAAUUUUUUUAGGAUCUCUAAAAUAUAAGUGGUUGGCUUUUAUUUUAAGAAUUGUGCAUUCUAAAAUUUAUUAGAUAGUUUAACAUAUUCUUUCGUCGAAUGAAAUUACUAAUUAAACAAAAUCAGUCGAUGCUCAAUUUUAUCUUCGUUUGGAAUAAAAUUAAAUUUUAAAAGAAUAAAUGACGUUUUUGGUUCCAAACUAUAAGAUGCGCGACACUUUAGUCCUUGAAUUUUAAUAUUUUACAUUUUCUUGCUCAAACUAUGAGGCACAUGACACUUUAGUCUUCAAACUUUAAUUAGUUGCAAUUUCUGGCUUGAAUUAUGACGUAUAUAAUAAUUUAAUUUUACAAAUAUAGAAAAUUAAGAAAAUAUAAAUAAACAUUCUUUAUAAUAUAUAUAUAAGAUUAUUUAAUAUAUAUUUUAUUUUUUUAAUUUUAAAAUCAAUAUAUAUNNNNNNNNNNNNNNNNNNNNNNNNNCCCCCCCCCCCCUCUCUCUCUCUCUCUCUCUCUCUCUCUCUCUCUCUCUCUCUCUCUCUAUUUUAAUUUCUCUCUCUACUCUACCCCCUCUCUCUCUCUCUUUCUCUCUCUCUCGUCUAAUGAGAUUAAGAUGAUUGAUUAGCUACCCACACACACACACACACACACCAACUAACAGAAGCACCAAUUGGGUGCCAAUUAUGAGGGAAAGGAAACCGACCAACGGAGGGGGUAAACGGCCUUUUCCAUCAUCAUCUCCAUCAUCAUCGUCGUCGACACCACCGUAUGUGUAUAUAUAUACGUACGUACAUAUCUUCAUAUGUACAUGCUAUAUAUGUAACCCCGCAUAUUAUUUUGCUGAGAGGUUGAUUAAUUGAUCACACAGAUUUUUUUUUUUUGUAUUAACUGUACUAUAUACCUAUUUGAUACAUUUGAAUUCAACUGCUGCAAUUAGAACUGUAUAAGAAGAUUCAAGCGAGCAGUUUUAGACAAAAGAUAAACUUAACUCCUUAAUAUUUUUUUAAUAUAUAUAUAUAUAUAUAUAUAUAUAUAUGAUGAUUUUUUUGAUAUAAAUUAGCAUACAAAUAUAUAUAGAGAGAGAGAGAAAGAGGGAGAGAGAGAGAGAGAGAGAGAGAGUAUGACUAUUAUAUUCUUACCGGUAUAGAGUUUUUUUGUACUCAUAAGUUAUUUUAAAAAUAAAACUUUCGAAUCAAUGAUCCACACAGUUAAAUAUGAUGUAGAGUUGUUGGAUUAGAAACACGGGGCAAAACUAACUAGAUCAAUGCGUUGAUUGAGUCAGACACUGCCUCGAGAGGCGAAUCGACUUCUGAAAUGAUCCUCAAAUGUGUCACUACUAAGUCGAGCGAUUCAGUUGAGAAGGGAUCGGCUCAACCAGACUCUUUCACUAAUUAUUUUCGAGUGAAUCGAAAUGCGAGCUCAACUAAUUAAAGAACCGAAUUAUUUAUGUUAAUUUGAAAAGGGCGAUUAAAAAAAGGGCUAAAUUACAUAAAACUUUCCUGUCAAAAUCUGAUUUUUUACUUUCCCUCCCUAUCAUGUAAAAACCUACACUUUGCCCUCUUGUAAAAUGAAAAAUAUUUACUUCGCCCCCUGCCGUUAGUAAUCUGUUAGGGUUCCAUUUAUAAAAUAUUAUUAUAUAUUUUUUUAUACCAAAACUGCCCUCAGCCUUCUCUCUUGUGAAUAUAAUCAGGGGCAAAAUGUUGAGAGGCAAAAUGGUCAUUUUGUCAUCACAGUUCACACCGUACUUUUCUGUAAACAUUUUUCAUUUUACAAGGGGGUAAAGUGUAGGUUUUUAAAUGACAUGGGGGGAAAAGUGAAAAAUCAGAUUUUGACAGAGAGGUUUUCUGUAAUUUAGCCUAAAAAAAAUGUUACAAAGAGUAAAAUCUACUCCUUAGAAAGAUCUUAGAAUUAACUAAACUCUUAGAUGGAAAAAAAAAAAAAGAAGAAUAUAUGAACUACUACUAGAAAACCGUAAAUGCCGGGAAGAAGGAAUUGAAGUUUGUUGUGGUCACUUGUUUGUGUGAUGGACCUUUAUCACAAGCGCAUUUUUUUCUGUUUAUAAUAGCGUAUUCUCCGGCCUGCAGUAAAUGGGUAAAACUUUUAAAAAAUACUUUUCAUAUUUUUUUUUAAAUUAUAUUAAAAUCUAUCAAAUAGGCAUAAAAUAAACAGCCGAUCUUAAACGACCUUGUAAAAAUAAAUAACUAGAUCCUUUAUUGAUCUUUAUCUAGAUAGUAAAUAAGAUUCUCUAUAAAAAAAAAAAAAAAAAAUCAAUCAACUCUUGAUUCUUAACUUUUUUUUUAAAAUUUUUUAAUCAAAAUUACAGGUCUUUUGGCACGUUGGUACAACCCUCUUAUUUUUCAUCACUAUAAAUAAAUAAAUAAAUAAAUAAAUAAAUUGAUGGAGCAAUUUUAAAUUGAUACAACUUUGACAUUUCCCACACCCACACACCCUAGCGUUAAGAUUUGAACAUGUAUUGUUGGACUUUGACGCAUAAAAAGGAAAAUUAUUGUAUAUGUGAUAUUUUAGUCAAAUUUGAAUUCCAAUAAGAUGGCUUUAAAUGAUGCUAAUAAACCUAAAUGGCUUUGGAUAUUGGGACAAAGAGUAAAGGCUUAAUUAUAAAAACAUACCCACAUUUAUUUACCUUUUGUCUUAAUUACCUUUCUGUAAAAAAAAAUUAGUAAAAAUGUAUAAAAAUUACUUAAAUUAUGACCAAUUUUAAUUUGACUAUCCAAUCUUUCAAAAUUUUAAUUUUACUAUCCAAAAUUUUAAUUUGUUUGAUUUGAGUAAGCCAGCGACACUUUGACUAUAAAAUUUAAGCUAAUUAUUUUAUUUAAUAAAUUUAUAGUUUGAAAAAAUUAUAUAAAAUUAAUAUACUUACUAAACCUGUAAAGAUAAACGACGCGUUCAAAUUUUGAAGUCAAAGUGAGUCGUUGGCUAGCUCAAUCAAUUGAUCCAUAGUUCUAGUAAGUUCUGUACAUUUUUGCCUAAAAAAUUUUAACGGUGUCAAUCCUUCACUUUAGUCUUGUGUCAAAUAGGUCUUUAAUAAUUUAGAGAUUCAAUUAUGUUUUAAGAAAAGUGUUAACGGUGAUGACGUGGUAAGAUUAUUUAACAUUAAGGGUGCGUUUGGUUCGCAUUUUGAAAAAUUAUUAGGAAUAAAAGAUAUCCGAGAAUCUUAUUCCUAUUCAUCCUAUUACUAAGAAUGUGGAAUUGCUGUGUUUGGUUCGCACGAUAAUAUUAAUUAGCCAUGUUAUUUAAUAUUACAAAAAAUAUACAAUUAAUUAAUUAAUUUAUUUAUUUAAUUUUAGAUAAUGUUACCAAAAGUUUCAACAUCUUUUUAGAAAAAAGGGAGAGAGAGUAUAAGUUAGAGAGAGAGAGCAUAAUUAAAAAAAUAUAAAGAAAAAUAUAGUCAAAAUUAGAGGAAGUGAGAGAGUUGAAAUUUUAGAAAGAGAGAGAGAGAGAGAAAAAGCUUAGUUUAGAGAGAAAAAAAAAAGUUGAAUUUUAAAGAGAAAAAUAAGUUUAGAGAGAUAUAAGUUAGAGUGUAAAGAAAAAUAAUAUCAAUUAGCCGGCGGGUAGGAAGAAAGAAAGAGAUUAAACAUAUUAUGAUUAUCCCAAUCCAUUAAUAUGAGGAUACCUACCCUCCCUCAAGGGAAUGAGAUUAGUACUUUGGAGUGAAUCUUAUUCCCAAGUGAAUCCAAUAUUAUCAAUUAGAUUACUUAGUGCAUUUAACCAAAUACCGUUAUAUUUUUUUUAUUCCCAUUGAAUUACUAGGAAUCUUUAAAAGAUAGCGCGAACCAAACGCACCCUAAAAGCAUUUAAAUUCACAUGUGAAUAUCUUCCUCUUAGGUUUUGAUAUUAGGAAGUGUGCUUAAAAGAGCUAAGAUGAGUUUCAAAAUGUGAUAUCUCAACAUGCAGUUGUUAAAUUAAUCAAAAAUCCUAACGGAAGGAUCUAUUUGAGAUAGAACUAGAGUGCAUGGUUGACAUUAUUAUUGUUAUUAUUAUUAUCCUAAGAAAAAUGUAGUAUACUAUUCGUUUUAUUUUUUUUUUUUAGAAAUAAAUUUAGCUAAAAACAUAAACUAACUAGAACUUAGCUGAAAAGGCGUAAUGUUAUUUGAGUGGUGUUUGAAUAUAGCAUUCAUACAUUACGCUUUUUCGUCAGGUCGCACGUCCAUGACCGGUAUGAAAAGUAAGAUGUAUAAGAGAAAAUUGACCAAUCUGAUCAAGUGGUAGAUUAUUGUCAUAUGAUAUUUUAUUCCUUUCCACAUAAGAUGUUGAUUAUUGUUUAUCAUAAUAAGAUAAGAAUACGAAUGAAUUAUAUGUUUAUUAUUAACUAAGAAACAUAUCACCUAAUAUUUUGAAAUUCAAAUCGCAUGUGAAUAGAGUUAAAACAUAACCGGCCAAUAUGGAUAUACCACAUGGCAACACUACCUAUACGACGAAAGCUGGGGUGAGCCGAGUCACAAUCGAGAACCAUGAGUUAAUUUGUGUUUGUAUAUUUUAAGUACAUCAGUCGUCUCCUUUUUAUUAAUUUGAACUUUGGAAAUUCUUGUUAGUACCCAACGAUCUAACAAAGCGAUAUUACAGUAGCACUCCUUUUCUCAUCGUUUGGUCCGAAAAUAAACUGUUCUUUCUUAUUCUUGAUAUAGGUACAAUUCUUGAAAUAAGCAAGAAUAAGAUCAAUUUUGUAUUUGGAUGAAAAUUAAAUUAUUUCUAAAAAUUUUAAAAAAAUAGUAUUUGAAUAAUAUUUGGAUAUAAAGGGAAAAAUAAGAGUUUAUUUUCUCUCUUAUGUCCGAAUCAAACGGUGACUUUAUUCAAAAUAAUGUAAUAGCAAAAUGUUGACAUUUUUGCUUUUAAGCUAUUACCAUCUUAUUUUUAUGGGCCAUCUUGGUGGACACAAAUUACAAUGUCCAAGCUGUAGUCCUCUGUUUUAGAGGAAAGUCUACUGCAUAGCAUUUACAUCACAUACUACAAUAGAAUUAGGUUAUAGAAAUAUAUUUCUGAAAUAUUUUAAUAUAAAUGUUCCAUUUAUGUCAAAAUUUUUAAAAAAAUCUACUAAGGCGUAAAUAUAAAGUUCGAUCCAACUAAAAAUAAAAAGUUUCUCUACUCAACUAACCCCAUCCAGCUCACUUGACUCGAUUAUAAAUAGAAAAGAAAAAAUAAAAAAAAAUUUGAUCACCAUCUCCUCUUCUCCUCCUCCGCCGUCGCAACCGACGAGGUAGACGCGAGGAUCUCGUAGGAACCGUAGAGAACUACGAUCGCCACGUGUCCCUUCGCCAUAUGCCGCUGGAGGAAUGAGUACCAAACAUCGAGGCGGCCCCACAUAUAGCGACCUUACAUAUAGCAACACUUUUAAAAAGCGUCGGUAAUUUAGCCAGCAGUAAUUUUUUUUGACCUUUUCCGAUAUUUAAAAGUGUCGCUAUAUGCCCUUUUUGUUAUAGUGACAUCAUUUAUCCCCAACUAAUUAUUUUUUUUAUUUUGAAAGAAAAGUACAAUAAAAAUAAUUUUCUAAAUAUGAUGAUGGAAUGGGUGAGUUUCAAAAGAGCUUUUUUUUAUUGAUUGAAGACAACAUAUCAGCAAUAUAAAUAUUGUAUUCUAAAAUUUUUCCUAUUUUAGAGGACAUCCUAAAGCUUCUGCAUUGGUUUCAUCAGAAAAAAAAAAAAAAAAAAAAAAAAAAAAAAAAAAAAGAAAAAAAAAAAAAAAAAACCUUUGGGAUAACAUUUUUGAUAAUGUAAAAUAUUUGUGAGGUCACUCCAUGCAUGCCACUUCUUAAGUAUAAGAAAUGCAAUUCAAUGCGAAGUUCUCNAGAAAAAAAAAAAAAAAAAAAAAAAAAAAAAAAUCCCAAGGACUCUAGUUGGUUGGAUAAAAGAAUAUGGUAAAAGUAGAAAUGUCAACAGAUCGAAUUCAAAAAAGAGUUUAAAAAAUUUGAUCCGAACCUGAUUAUCAAAUUUGGAAUCCAAAUCCGACAGAUUCUAAAAAUUCAUAUCCAAAUCCGAAUUCGACCAAAAAUCCAAAACUCAAACCGAACCCGAAAACUCCAAGUUGAAACAAUUAUUUCUUUUUACCUAUUUCAAAACAUUUUACAUCAAAUCUAAAUUUCUAAAAUAAUCAAAAAUAACAUCAAAUAUUUGUAUAUAUUAUAUAAUGCAAAAUUAAUUCGAGUUCAGGUCCUGUUCGAGUUCGGCAUCGGGUCGGUUAUAGACAAAAUUCAUAUCCAAAUCCAAAUCCGUCGGAUUUUCAUUUUUUAUACCCAUAUCCGAAACUUAUCCAUUUAGUAUCGGAUAAAUCCGCUCCGUUCGAAUUCAGAGUCCAAUAAAAUUUCAUAUAUCCGUACCCAUUGACGUCCCAAGCUGUACGGAGACCUUCUUAACUAUAGGGCAUUCAAAAAUAGGUCCCUCAGAUUUUAUUUUUUAAUCCAUAUUUUUUAAACUUUUUUAAAAAAACUUGAAUAUCUUUACGCCGUUAAACGAGAAAACGCUUCAUAUCGACCAUUAAAAUUACAAAUUUUGAAACCCUUUGAUCAUUAAGCAAAUGAUGUCGAAAAGAAUUGAAAUUUGAUUUCUAAACACUUCAAGUGGUAUAAAUCAUGUUCAACGGUGCCGAUCGUCGAUUUGGAGGCUCCAUCAUCGAAAACAAAUGGGUGGCAAAAGAGUCAGUUUGUUAUCGAUAGUAUUCUAGCUCAACUCUCUCUCUCUCUCUCUCUCUCUCUCUCUCUCUCUCUCUCUAUAUAUAUAUAUAUAUAUAUUAAUUUAUAUUUUUAAAUUAAAUAUAUUCAAAAUUAUAUUUAUGACUAUAAUAUAUAAUAAUAUAUAUUUAGGACUAUAUAAUAUAUAUUUAAUAUUAAAUAAUAUAUAUACACACAUUUAGAAAAUAAAAUAUUAUGUAAUAAGAAUUGAGCUCUUAUGCUUUUAACAGUACUAUAAGUUAUUGGUACUUGUAAGUUUUCGGUACUUGGAUUAAGGAAUAUGUAGCUAGGAUGAUAGCGAUCGUCUAAAGUUGAGUGAGUGAUUAGUUGAAUAGUAUGAUCUAACGGAUAAAAAGGUCAGAUAGAUAGAUAUAACGGCAGAAAACUUACAAAUAUCAAAUAUUUUAUACUUUUACACGUGUCAUAACCGGACUCAUAUAAUAAUAUAUAUAUUAAUGUAAAGAGAGAGACAUCGACAAAGAGAUAUAUAGAUCGAUACAUACCUCUCUCACGUGGUCCACGAGGUCCCACGUACGUCACCUCGCGGAUCGCGUGUGAGCAACUUCCAUGAGCCCUCAUUCCCCCUCGGGAGUUUUUGUUUUCCGCGUUUUCUGCGGUAAAGAAAGCGAAAACGAAAGCUUCAAUUUUUUUCCAAUCCCGUAAAGUAUUUUUACGAAAAAUUAUUUAUUAACGUCGAACCAAAUAAAUAAAAAAACUAAUUUUCAAAUCGAAAAUAGUUUUCAGCUUUGUUUUACAUCUAACGAAACACAUCCUAAGUGCGAAUUAGUAAGAAAACUAACAUCGCUAAGGAUACAUUUAGUUCCACGUAAAAUUGUUAAAAAAAGAAAAAAAUCGGGGAAAAACUAUUUUUGGUGGAAAAAUAAUUUUUUCAUUCGAUGUGUUAGGAUGGUAUGAAAAGGAAAAUAAUUUUGUAAUAAAGUUGUUUGGUUUGGCGGAAAAGGAAACAAAAUAUUUUUUUUUAUUUUUUGUUGUUAAUAUAUAUUUACUAUUUAAUAUUAGACAAUAUAUUUAAUGUAAUAGAUGCUAAUUAAAAUUACACAAUUUAAUUUUUUAAUUAUAUUAAAUAUAGUAACAAAUUAUAUAAGUUAAUAUAUAUAGAGAGAGAAACACACACCUAUUAAUAGUAUAGAUCAAGUCUAACGGAGCCAAUCGUCGAUUUGGAAGCCGCAUCAUUAAAAACAACUUGGUAGCACGGAGGCCUCCGUGCUACCGAUAAUAUACCAGCCUAGCUCUAUAUAUAUAUGUGAGACCUCAGAUAGUCCUAUAUAUGAGAUAUAAUAGGGCUAAACUCUUAACCCGGCUUAAGCAUUUUGGAUAGUGGCAAGGCCCAAGAGGUUAAGAGAGUUAAGCGUGCUAGGACGGGAGUAGUCCUAGGAUGGGUGACCCCUGGGAAGUUGGGGCGUCACAUAUGGUAUUAGAGCCAAUUACCAGCCGGAAGUGUGAGAUGAGUCUCAGCUGAGCCAGGGUAUGGAUGAUGGGCUAGCGAGAUAAGUCUCACAUCGCCUGGUACUUGUGAGUCUGAGCCUGACGAGGACGUCAGGGCUUAAAGAAGGGGAGAUUGUGAGACCUCAGAUAGUUCUAUAUAUGAGAUAUAACAGAGCUAAACUCUUAACCCGGCUUAAGCAUUUUGGGUGGUGGCAAGGCCCAAGAGGUUAAGAGAGUUAAGCGUGCUAGGACGGGAGUAGUCCUAGUGGGUACCCUGGGAAGUUGGGCGUCACAAUAUAUAAUAUAAAUAUAUAUAUAUAUAUAUAUAUAUGAGAGAGAGAGAACAGGGCUGCUGUGCUCUAAGGAGCACGGAGGCUCCGUGCUCUGAGCCGUUUUCGAUGAUGGAAUUUUCGAAUUGACGAUCGGCUCCGUUAGACUUGAUCUAGCGCAUUUGAAGUUUCUAGAAAAUAAUUUUUGCGAUUUUUCUAUAUCAUUUAACCUAGUGAUCGAAAGGAUUCAAAAUCUAUAAUUUUUAAUGGUUGAUAUCUGCCGUUUUCAAGUUUAACGGUGUAGAAGUAUUCAAAUCAGAUGAAAUUUUGAUAGAAAAUUCUUAUACUAUCUACAACAAGAUCUAUCUUUCUGAUCGAAAAUUUUAGUGCUUAUAUCAUCACUUUUUAUAGGAUUUUUAUUUCUCAGCCGUUAAAAAUUAUUGAUUUUGAAUCCUUCGAUUGCUAGGUAAAUGAUAUCGAAAAAUCGCAAAAAUUAUUUUCUAGAAACUUUAAAUACGCUAGAUAAGUUUAACGGAGCGAUCGUCGAUUCGAAAGCUCAUCAUCGAAAACGGCUCAGGAGCACAGAGGCCUCCCGUGCUCCUGAAUGCCAGCCAGCCCUGCCUAUAAUAUAUAUAUAUAUAUAUAUAUAGCGAGAGAGAGAGAGUUGGGCUAGAAUACUAUUGAUAGCAAAAGGCCUUUUUUGCUAUCAUGUUUUUAACCUUUAGAUCAAUUUUUUUCAUCAUUUCUAACCAUUGGAUUAAAUAUUAUAAUUGUCACGCCCCGGAUUACUCGAUCCCCGGGCACGCCGACAAAUCCGCCGUAUACAAAGGAAUUUUUCUUGUAUACGAAGCGAUAGCUGUACUUGUAUAACAUACAAUACUACAAACAGUAGUAUAGAGCUGCUAGAAGAACCAGUAACUAAAAACAAACUGAGUUCCAUAUACAUACAUCAAAUCCAAUCUACAAAACUACACGCACUGGCGAGCUAAAUAUCUGUAUGUACAUGAACUCCAACCAAAAACAACUACCUGCUGUAGGGCACCUCUAGCUCGGCUCGUCGGGUAGGGCUCUAACUCGCGACGCCCUUGCCUCGAUCCUGAUCAGCAACAGCAGCAGUCGAAGACGAUGGCUCUGCAAAAACGGGGUAACAACAGGGCGUGAAAACUACUGUAAAAAUAAGUAAUCCUCAAUGGGUGCCGCCCUCAACAUCAUCGGUCCAGUCACUAAGUAUACAGAAGGGAGCAAAAAUAGUAAUAAACGCUGGAAUAAAAUCUACAGUUACGAUUUAUUACACUAUCAUGCUCUAAGCUGACCUACUGUAGUAAUGUGAAUCCCGACCCAAUCUCUUUAGGGACUGUAAACAUACCCAUCCCAGAGACUGUGAACACACCCGUCCCGCCCAGUUGAGACUAUCUAGCUACCUCCACACUAUCCAGUUCGUGGAGAGCAAAUCUAACCAGCAUGCACGACACCAACGCGAAAGCACAGCGCCCGUCUCCGGAGUGGCACUCGUGGGAGCUACCCAACCGAGUAUGCAGCGUAUCUCUGUCGAGCUCAAUCAGACUCUCUCAAGCCAAAGUCCAAGUAACCGACUCUAACUGGUCUAACAACCAAUAGGUUACGUGCCCUCGGCACAAUCCGACGCCAAACAAGCGAUAUGGGUCCACCGUCAACCCCGACGGCACCCAAUAGUCCGGAACAGUCUGAAUGCUACUGUAAAAAUACGCUAGGCAUUCCAGCACGAGCGUAACUGAACUCUAAACUACCUGGGGUAUCCGUCACAUCGAUACUGCGACGAUACAAAAUUACAACGGCUCCUAGAGCUAAAUCAGGUAGUUUAAGCAUAUGACAGGUUAUACUCGCAGUUUUCUCCUAAGUCAAAUCCAAGUCCAACAUGUGUCACUAUCUAGUCGAAAUAUUA
rnacentral:lncRNA from 1 species